UACGUAGGGACCAAGCGUUGUUCGGAUUUACUGGGCGUAAAGGGCGCGUAGGCGGCGUGUCAAGUCACUUGUGAAAUCUCUGAGCUUAACUCAGAACGGCCAAGUGAAACUGUUGUGCUAGAGUGCAGAAGGGGCAAUCGGAAUUCUUGGUGUAGCGGUGAAAUGCGUAGAUAUCAAGAGGAACACCUGAGGUGAAGACGGGUUGCUGGGCUGACACUGACGCUGAGGCGCGAAAGCCAGGGGAGCAAACGGG
rnacentral:rRNA from 1 species